UCCCCGCCUCUCUCUUCCAGCGGCUGCUGCUGCCGAUUCAGACAGCCAUCUUACAGGCUCAGAGCUGCAACAAGACAAAUUCAAAGCAUCUCACUGCAGUUCAGAAAUCACUUGACCUAAAAGCAGACAGAAACCGGAUUGGCUGCGGCUUCCUCUCUCCAAAUAUGAGGUAAAGAAACUGAGGUUCAAGAAAGGUGACUGAUGUGCCCAAGGUUAAAUACCAAGUAAGUUACAAAGCCAGACGUGAACUUCUGCCUGAGACUUUUCAUUUCGACACCAUGUAUGUUACGUCACCUUCUGUACUUGGUUGAAUGAAAUAGAAAGAUCUCCUAUCA